rnacentral:lncRNA from 1 species
ACGAAACUUGAGAAAUUUAAUUUGAAGGCGUAUUCUUAAAGUUGUGCAGCAAGAGUAAUAAGGAACUAAAGCAGUAAGAAGAUUUGCAGUAAUGUAAAUGACAAUAAUAAAAAGCAAACCAGAGAUUACGCCAAUUUUUAGAGUGGUUCGGUCAAAUGACCUACUCCACUUGCGAGGCCCCUCUUCGAUGAGGCUCCCACCUUCCACUAACAAGUCUCUUGAAAUGGAAGGGUAAACACCCCUCUUACAACCUUUUACAAGCAGCUCAACCUCUUACAAAUUUUCAAUAAGAAAGAAGGAGGAGAACUCUCUAGCAAAUUGAAAACAAGACUUGCUAAGACUUUCUAAGACUUUUCUCUCAAUCAAAAUGCUUCUCAAAAGUUG